AAAACUUUAAUACUAUUUUCAAAUUAGGCCCACGACUUAUUAGGUAUCUUCGUUGUCGAUGUCUAUUCUACGCCUCUGUAACCGUUUCAGUUUCAUCAAACAUUGUUUUUUUUCGCCAGAACUUUGUAACUGAAGAAGUUGAUUUCAGCCUUCACUUCCAUCAAUUAAUUAUUAGAGAUUAACGACGGAAUUCAUUGACAUCAAACCAUGAAUUCUUCAUCCUUUUAGCUUCCCUCAAGUCUUGACUAUUUUCAUACACUAUUUAUAUGGAGCUGAAGAGGACGGCUAUGUGGAUCAAAUCGUCACUGUCUUCUAUUAUACCUAAGAACCUGCAAGCAGGUUACAAGAAUCCUCAACUGCUUCUUUCUGAGUUGGCUGGUCGGUACAAGGAAACCGGACCCGUCUCCUCCUCAGUUCUUGGGAAGCAAUGAAUGUGGGGGAAAGCUUACGGGGAUUGAUAUAUUUUGGUUGAUAAGAAGUCUACUCUGAUUCAGGGAUCUAUGAGCUGAGUUGAUUUGAUUUGACAAGGAGUAAUCAGUACUUUAAGCUCCCCACAUCACUUUCUCUAUUAGAUUCAAGCAACAUUCCACCAUGAUCUAUAUUGCAGAAACAAUUAAUCCAUUCCCAACGGAGGUCUUCAUGUUCCGCGAUUAGGAUGAGAUGGUGGUACUAGCGAACACAGACACAUACUUACCAGGUCAGGGACCCGACUGUUUUUGUAAGUGUGUUGACAGGAUCGAAAUUCGCAACUGUACUUCACGAGAAAUUGGUGGCCUCAGGUGUUGAGCCCAAGGUGGUCGUCGCUACCAACGUGAAUCCUAAGCUGGUUGGAGGUUGUGUCUUCCUAGACGCUACAUUAGGCACAUAUUUCUACUUCGACACAGAGAGUGCGCUGGCCAGAACGUUUUUGAAGCGUAAAAUCUAAACUCUCCAACUUUAUCUUUUAACCAAAAUCCUUUCUCCUGCUUAAAUUUUUUUGAUUGAAACAAGAAAUUUUCCCAAGAUGUCUCAUCUUUCUCAAGUUCAAAGGUGUAAUAAUUUAAAGUUGCUGGCCAUACUGUUAUUGAAGUUGUUUUCUUGGUUUUAUAUUUUCUAGGCUUGGUCACUGAGAAACCUUUUCGGCCCUCACUUAACUUUUUUUUUAAAACAUGUACAGAAGGUUAUCAUCUAUUAG